rnacentral:misc_RNA from 1 species
ACAGAAGCUAUAGCUGUAUCGUGGCUUAAGUUAUGGUUUUUAUGUAAGGAUUGCGCUUUGCGGGUCAUGGUCCUGCAGCUAUCGAAAGACCGUUUCAGCCCAUCCAAUUCCGCCUGCAACGAAAAGGGAGCCCGGAACCGGCGAAUAGCCCGGCAAAACGAAUCGCUUCCGCCGGAUUGAGUCGCCGGGAUAUUAGAGCGCAUCCCGAAAGGCGUGAAACGGUUUUCGGAAAAGAUGCGCGUCAAAACAAAUAGUUAGAGCGCCGAUCUGAUUCAAU